rnacentral:lncRNA from 1 species
ACUGAAGGAAUAUAUAUAUUAUAAUGACACAAAGAUAUAACAGUAUAUGGAAAACACCCUUGCAUACAUCUUCUCCUUCAGCUACAAAGGAUACCACCUCGGAUCUGUCAUCGUUAUUGGACUGAAUGAGGAAACAGUUAAGCAUACAGGAAUUAUCUAGAAGAAUUAAUGGAGCGACAUGUAGGAUCACAUACUAAUAAACUUGGUCAGUGUCAUCUACACUCGGUCAUUCAGUCUCCCCUCAUUAGAUUUUCUAAAAGAGAGCCUCCUCUCUGAAUUCUAUUAACACAAACCAAUUGUUCAUCUACAUCAUAAAGAAAACUAAGAAGGGAAGAAGAAACAGAAAUAGGAACAUUCAGGUAACCCCAGAGGGCACCCAAAACCCACAGAUAUCUAGGAUCUGGAGUUUGCCCUUUCAGCGGCUGCGCAACAGAGACAAAAUAUUUCAUUGCUACUCCCUCCGUUCCAAAAUAGAUGACUCAACUUUGUAACUUUGUACUAAAGUUAAUACAAAGUAGAGUCAUCUAUUUUGGAACGAAGGGAGUAGAUGAGAGUGAACAUACUCGCAAAAGCAGUCACCAACAAGCAGGAACAGUCCACAAAUGGCAAGAGUGGCUUUAAAAGUUUGAUUUCUCUGUGCACUUUAAUUGCUUUUAAGCUGCCAGUCAAACGACUUCAGGUCACCAUCUUUGAGAUGCUCAGAAGACUUGAUUUUUGUCACUUGCUCGAAGAGCUUUACUCCCCAAAUCAGCGCUGAUCUGCAAAAUUGACCAUGAGUUUAACCAAAUAACAAACCACAUGAAUCAGAACAGAAGUAUCAGACACCGCUUUUAUUCUCAAAACAGGCCUCAUUCAUAAAUCUCCAAAUCUUCCAUAAUACAGCAGCCAACCCCACUGCGGUACAAAAAAUUGUCCUGGUGUUUUCAAUCUAAGCCCUCAGAACCUAAAGAAGUCAUGAUCAGUAUCAGGUACAAUUUUUCAGAUUAAAAGUGAGCUGCAAAAUGGUUCGGAUCAACUAAGUAUCCCAUCUCCGCCAUGUAACUAACAUGCUUUAUUCCUGUUCCACAUUUGCAAAGUAUCUCCCCAAAGGGUCCUUGUAAAUCGCUCUGAUUCCCAUAUGAUUUUAGUUUUAAUGUAGCUGAUUUGAACAUUAACAAAAUAGUCACCGAAAUAAGUUUGACAUAUUGAACAGAAAUAUAGUUUGUGGAUAAUAUGCUUGGGACGGAUUCGAUAAGAGAACAACAAUCAAAUAAUAUGACUUGUACCACUCGCACUUAAAACUGACUAAUAGAAAGGAAACCAGGAAUAAUUUUCCGACAAUGUGAUCAUCAGCGAUUCAACAUCAAACACAGCUACCCUACAGUUUGCGCUCAGUAUGAUCAGGACGAAUUCGACAUGACAACCACAAUUGAACAUGACGACUUGCAGGAUUCACACAUAAACUACAUAACAGAUAGGAAGCCAACUUAAUAAACUGAUAUACAGUUCUCUAGCCACAUUAUCAGGAUGAGCUGAAUCAGAAGUUGAGAACAACCACAAUUGAUCACAUUUCAGUUGCAACCUUGAAGCUUAAACUGCUCAACAGAAACAAAACAACCUGAUAUUAGUAGCUCAGAAGAAGCCAACAGUAGUAGACUAACGAUGAUGGAUUUGUCCAUUUUGCAUCGCAUCACCAUCAAGAGCCACAUCAGAGAUCAGUGAGUCCUUGCUAGCGAUAACAAUCUG